rnacentral:rRNA from 1 species
UACGUAGGGUGCGAGCGUUGUCCGGAAUUACUGGGCGUAAAGAGCUCGUAGGUGGUUUGUCGCGUUGUUCGUGAAAACUCACAGCUCAACUGUGGGCGUGCGGGCGAUACGGGCAGACUGGAGUACUGCAGGGGAGACUGGAAUUCCUGGUGUAGCGGCGAAAUGCGCAGAUAUCAGGAGGAACACCGGUGGCGAAGGCGGAUCUCUGGGCCAUUACUGACGCUGAGGAGCGAAAGCGUGGGGAGCGAACAGG